rnacentral:rRNA from 1 species
AUUGAACGCUGGCGGCAUGCUUUACACAUGCAAGUCGAACGGUAACAGGGGAGCUUGCUCCCGCUGACGAGUGGCGAACGGGUGAGUAAUGCAUCGGAACGUGCCGAAUAGUGGGGGACAACGCACCGAAAGGUGUGCUAAUGCCGCAUACGCCCGGAGGGGGAAAGUGGGGGACCGCAAGGCCUCACGCUAAUCGAGCGGCCGAUGUCGGAUGAGCUAGUUGGUGGGGUAAAGGCUCACCAAGGCGACGAUCCGUAGCGGGUCUGAGAGGAUGAUCCGCCACACUGGGACUGAGACACGGCCCAGACUCCUACGGGAGGCAGCAGUGGGGAAUUUUGGACAAUGGGGGAAACCCUGAUCCAGCCAUGCCGCGUGUCUGAAGAAGGCCUUCGGGUUGCAAAGGACUUUUGUCCGGGAGGAAACCCUGAUCGUUAAUAGCGGUCGGGACUGACAGUACCGGAAGAAUAAGCACCGGCCAACUACGUGCCAGCAGCCGCAGUAACAC